UACGUAGGGUGCGAGCGUUAAUCGGAAUUACUGGGCGUAAAGCGUGCGCAGGCGGUUUUGCAAGCCGGAUGUGAAAUCCCCGGGCUCAACCUGGGAAUGGCAUUCGGGACUGCAAGGCUGGAGUGCGGCAGAGGAGACUGGAAUUCCUGGCGUAGCAGUGAAAUGCGUAGAUAUCAGGAGGAAUACCGAUGGCGAAGGCAGGUCUCUGGGCUGACACUGACGCUCAUGCACGAAAGCGUGGGGAGCAAACAGG
rnacentral:rRNA from 1 species